CCUAUCCUCUGGCUUAGUUCUCUCCUUAAGCAGGUUCAAGGCCCGUGGCCGUUCCCUCGUCUGGUAAAGCGGAUGGUGCGAGGUGUGGGGGGUGGAUUAGGCAGGUUGGGGUGGUGCCUGGAGCUUAGUCAGUGCUCCGUAAGGAGGGGGCCAGCUGCUGUCAGUUCUCUGCCUGCGUCCAGCCUGCAGGGCUUUAGGGACUGUGCCCUUAACCCUCUGUUUGGUUACCACGGGCACUGUAUCCGUGGAGGGCCUCAGCAGGAUGCGGUGCUGUCAGGCGUGGAUGCGUCCUCUGUCGCUGUCAGGCCAGCAGGUGCUGCUGUCCGGGAAGGGAGUGGUCGACUGUCCCCAGGGCCACUGUGCCCACCUCCCCUGGGCAGAUGGCCAGGGGGCCGCCUUCAGCCUCAGGGCAGCGCCCACUCCCAGCACUUUGGCUUCUUGGUCCGGGCAGGCCGCCUGUUCUGUGUGAGAAGACCACGCUCCUCCUUGCGGUCGCCGUGCGGCAGGCCCUCUGCUGUCCUGACGCCCAGCCCAAUGCUGCCCUGAACGGGCUGUGUGACCCGAAGCCAAUCGCUUCACCUCUCUGGUCUCAGUGUCCUCGUUGUCAGAACGGAACUAACAAUGCUCGUGGCUGAGGGGCGCGUUGUCAGGUGAGACGAGGAGGUGAAGAACCGUAGAACUGUACGCAGGGCGCUCAUCCCCCCAAGUCUCUAUUCUGCCCAAUCUUUGUCCCCCCCCCAAGCACCCGUGACCUGGCGACGCUCCCUGCCCUCAGCACAGCCUUUCAGCACGUUUGGCCGCCUCUGCCGACCGUGAAGCUGGAUGGGCCCCUGGGGCAUAAGAAGCAUGAACUUCUGUUGGACUGAGAGUUUCCUGAAGCAGGGCCAGCUCUGUUCCUCUCUGAGGUGCCCCCUUCCUCUCCCGCAGAGCCGAGCCUGCAACAAGUGCCCGGCACACAGACGUGUGGGACAGACGUACAGACGGACGUGGGUGAGGAGCUGGCCCCUCUCUCCUGAUGCCCCGUUUAUUUUGUGUCAUGUAAGGACAUUGUUUCUGAAACUGUCGCUCAGAGAUCUAAAUUUAGACUUCCCAGGAGCCCUUCUGCCAGGAAUGGGUCUGAAGUAGAGUCCUCAAGGCUUGCCUUUCUUGGUCUCUCAGAGGCACCACCAGAUAGCCAAGUCGGGGCAGCGUUCAGCUCGGAGUCUUGGAGGAGUUUCUGGUUGAGCGCGGACGGCUUGUACCACCACCCGGCUGCCUGGGAGGCCUCGCGCCCCGGUGAUCCCGCAGGCUAGCCGGGAAUCCCGCGGCCGCGCCCCCCAUGUGCGUGCUUCCUAGCCUACCUGUCCUGCCCUCCUGGCCCUCAGGGCCGCCUAGAUGCUCGUCUCAAGGACUGCCGAUGACACGGCAGCUCAGAUGCGCUUCUCGUAUCUGGAGUUGAGAACUAAGGAGGUUUCUCUGCCAACACCUCGCAGAAAAGGUACUUCCACAAAAGAGUGACUGGUGGAAACCGAAGACGUCUGCAGAAAAGAGAAGAUCUAUAAACCGGAGAGCCUGACCCUCCCCUGCAUCUCUGGGCAUCAUCAGUGCAGGCAGGGGAUGAGCCUGUGCCUUCCACAGCAUGUAGGCUGGACCAGUGGGUCCCAAAAGGUGAUCUUCAGACCAGUGGGCUCAGCAUCCCCUGACGUAUUCGUUAUCUGUUAUGUGUAACAACUUGCCCCCAAACUUGGUGGCUUCAAGCACCAAUAAAUCUUUCUUAUUUCUCA